AGAACGAACGCUGGCGGCAUGCCUAACACAUGCAAGUCGAACGUGAUCCAUGACUUCGGUUGUGGUGAAAGUGGCAAACGGGUGAGUAACGCGUGGGAAUCUGCCCAGAGGUAGGGAAUAACCGCGGGAAACUGCGGCUAAUACCCUAUGUGCCCUACGGGGCAAAGAUUUAUCGCCUUUGGAGGAGCCCGCGUCGGAUUAGGUAGUUGGUAGGGUAACGGCCUACCAAGCCUACGAUCCGUAGCUGGUCUGAGAGGAUGAUCAGCCACACUGGGACUGAGAUACGGCCCAGACUCCUACGGGAGGCAGCAGUGGGGAAUAUUGGACAAUGGGGGCAACCCUGAUCCAGCAAUGCCGCGUGAGUGAUGAAGGCCUUCGGGUUGUAAAGCUCUUUCGGCGGGGAAGAUGAUGACGGUACCCGCAGAAGAAGCCCCGGCUAACUUCGCGCCAGCAGCCGC
rnacentral:rRNA from 1 species